rnacentral:lncRNA from 1 species
AGGGAUGCGAUGGGCACUCGCUCGAGUUCGAGGCUGAGGAGCGGCCGCGCGUGCCGGUGGCUGGCCAGAUUGACAAAGGAAGGUGCGGCUGAGAAAAAUGAAAAAAAAAUUAGGACGUGGCUCAGAGAAGAAGAGAUCGGAGAAGAGAGACGGGCCAAAAGACGGGAGAAGAGAAACUGGGUUUCGGCCCAGAAAAUCAUCUCUCGCAAUACUCCCUCCGUCCCAAA